GGGGUGUAAUUGGGUCCUGGUUGGGGUGUAGUUAUGCUGUGGUUGGGUCCUGGUUGGGGUGUAAUUGGGUCCUGGUUGGGGUGUAUUGGGGUGUAAUUGGGUCCUGGUUGGGGUGUAGUUGGGCUAUAGUUGGGUCCUGGUUGGGGUAUAGUUAUGCUGUGGUUGGGUCCUGGUUGGGGUGUAGUUGGGCUAUAGUUGGGGUGUAAUUGGGUCCUGGUUGGGGUGUAGUUGUGGGGUGGUCGGGUCCUGGUUGGGGUAUAGUUGGGGUGUAGUUGGGUCCUGGUUGGGGUAUAUUGGGGUGUAAUUGGGUCCUGGCUGGGGUGUAGUUGGGGUGUAAUUGGGUCCUGGUUGGGGUGUAGUUGUGGGGUGGUCAGGUCCUGGCUGGGGUGUAGUUGGGGUGUAGUUGGGCUGUAAUUGGGUCCUGCUUGGGUUGUAGUUGGGUGUAGUUGGGUCCUGUUUGGGGUGUAGUUAGGGGGUGGUUGGGGUGUAGUUGGGCUAUAGUUGGGGUGUAAUUGGGUCCUGGUUGGGGUGUAGUUGGGGUGUAGUUGGGUCCUGGUUGGGGUGUAGUUGGGGUGUAGUUGGGUCCUGGUUGGGGUGUAGUUGUGGGGUGGUUGGGUCCUGGUUGGGGUGUAGUUAUGCUGUGGUUGGGUCCUGGUUGGGGUGUAGUUGGGGUGUAAUUGGGUCCUGGUUGGGGUGUAGUUAUGCUACGGUUGGGUCCUGGUUGGGGUGUAGUUGCGGGGUGGUCGGGUCCUGGUUGGGGUGUAGUUGGGUGUAAUUGGGUCCUGGUUGGGGUGUAGUUAUGCUACGGUUGGGUCCUGGUUGGGAUGUAGUUGUGGGGUGGUCGGGUCCUGGUUAG
ensembl:lncRNA